UGAGUUUGAUCAUGGCUCAGGACGAACGCUGGCGGCGUGCUUAACACAUGCAAGUCGAACGGAAAGGCCCUGCUUUUGUGGGGUGCUCGAGUGGCGAACGGGUGAGUAACACGUGAGUAACCUGCCCUUGACUUUGGGAUAACUUCAGGAAACUGGGGCUAAUACCGGAUAGGAGCUCCUGCUGCAUGGUGGGGGUUGGAAAGUUUCGGCGGUUGGGAAUGGACUCGCGGCUUAUCAGCUUGUUGGUGGGGUAGUGGCUUACCAAGGCUUUGACGGGUAGCCGGCCUGAGAGGGUGACCGGCCACAUUGGGACUGAGAUACGGCCCAGACUCCUACGGGAGGCAGCAGUGGGGAAUAUUGCACAAUGGGCGGAAGCCUGAUGCAGCAACGCCGCGUGCGGGAUGACGGCCUUCGGGUUGUAAACCGCUUUCGCCUGUGACGAAGCGUGAGUGACGGUAAUGGGUAAAGAAGCACCGGCUAACUACGUGCCAGCAGCCGCGGUGAUACGUAGGGUGCGAGCGUUGUCCGGAUUUAUUGGGCGUAAAGGGCUCGUAGGUGGUUGAUCGCGUCGGAAGUGUAAUCUUGGGGCUUAACCCUGAGCGUGCUUUCGAUACGGGUUGACUUGAGGAAGGUAGGGGAGAAUGGAAUUCCUGGUGGAGCGGUGGAAUGCGCAGAUAUCAGGAGGAACA
rnacentral:rRNA from 1 species